rfam:Gossypium arboreum cultivar AKA8401 contig_75_7, whole genome shotgun sequence.
UGUUAAAAAAUUCACUCAUUUCUACUAUUAAAAUCUGGCAUAAUUAACAGAAUGAUCAAAAAAUGGCACAUACAUGCCACGUGUACAUCAUGCUUUUGCAUAGGGACUAGUUUUUAACAGUAGAAAUGGAUAAAAAUUUUAACA